ACACAGCAAAAUAUCCAGUGUUGUUUGGAGUUGUUUUUCCGGUGUUAAUUUACCAGAGUUAAAAAGUGUUGAUUCUGGUGUUAAUUUAAACGACUUAAACACUUGCAGUGUAAAUCAAUGGUCAGAGUUAGUGUAAUUACCAUGAGUUGACCUUAAACCACACUAGUAGAGAGUAUAUUCAAUUUCCGGUCUUCGCACGUUACUUCCUUUUUGAUUAAUGGCGGACAAGCACAUGGAGACAGCAGUGUUCUAACAGGUAUAAUUAUUUUAUUCCAUCAACUUUCUGAUUUGUCCUAGUACAUUUCUAAUCAUUUUUUAAAUAAUAGUUAUAAGCUUAAAGACAUUUUAAGAGUACUAAAAUAAUUUUCUUUUAGGUAACACGUCAAAUAACGACAGGAACCGAGGGAAGCUGUGUGUGUGUUUGGAUAGCUCUGGCAAAUUAAGCUUUCGUCAUGCUGGUUAAAGUUCAGUGUAAAGGUGUGAAGAAAUGGGUAAAAUUGCUUGACGAUUUUACAUUCCAGGAUUUUCUUACUGAAGUUAAAAACAAAUUUGGAUUUACAAGAACUACAUCUCUUCAAGUCUUUGACGACACUGACACCAAUGUGGAGGAGGACGUCUUCCAAGAAUUGAUUCAAGCCAGUCCAGAUAUGUUUUACUAUAAAUCAGGACUUUGCUCUUCUGUUCAAUGCUGAAACAUCCAACAAGUUGCUUGAGAGGUGGGAGACAGCAUUCAAGCACAAGAUCAUCAAUGAAGCCAGGUCUCUUACUUCGACAGCAGAAAUUCAAUGUCUUCUCAAUGCAGCAGUGGGAGAAGGAUCUGAAAAUGAUUGGGACAGUGACAUGUCAUCCAUCCUGCUACUAUUGCAUCUCCUGCCACCUUCUUCGGGAAGGAAGAAGACCAAGAUCAGAGCACAAGAGCUGGGAUUUCCUUGUUAAAUUCAUCAUUUGUUCUGAUAAAGAACUCCUGCACCACUAUUGAAGACCAUCUCAGUGGCAGGCAGAGCCACCAGCCAUACCUGCUUGGAUUAGGAAGGAUUAAGAGCAGAAUCGACAACUUCUAUGUGGUUGUGGACAAACAUCUCAUCCCCUGUGCUGGAACCAGCUCCUUGAGUGCUAUAGAUGAACUAUUCAAAGUCCACUACGUUUUCAACCUGUCAUACGAGGAAGCCCUUGUCAACAGACUACAAUCUACAACAUCGAUGUUGGACUUUCUAGUGAGUCUCUCUGAGAAAAUGAGUUACGUGCAAAGCUUUUAAACUAGGUUAAAUGUUAAGGUGUUUUUGUGGUCAAAGUUUGCAUUCAAGUAGCCACACUUUGAUAUCUCACUUGAGAGUCACGCACAGUUUUUAUCCUUCUUUAAAGUUUAAGCUGUUAUGUGCACAAGAAAUGCUACAAAAUCCUGCACAGUCCAUCUUAAAUUAGAUGGGACAGAAUAUAGACAAGACCUGAUUGUGUGUAAUGAAAUUGAGAAUGAAAUCCCCAUUUUCAGUCAGAUUCAGAGAAUACUUUUAAUCAAUGACACUGUGUAUUUUAUUGUUAACAAACUUGUAACGGAGCAUUUCUCGGAGCAUCGCCAUGCAUUUAAAGUUUAGAGGUACUGUGGGUUGAAUGAACUUGUCAAAGCCAGCAAUUUGAAGUUCUUCAGGCCUUUUGAUCUACAUAUGGGUCAGAUGGUGAAUAUGUUGUUCCCUCAUGUAUGUUAGUUUGAGAUGUUAGUUUGAGCUAAAAUAUACAUUUCAAACUGAUACAUUGUGUUGGCUGUUCUUUAAUUUAAUGUAUUUAGUUGAACCAAGUGUAGAUUUAAAUACCUAAAUAUGGGGAUGUAUGAACACUACAUUAGUUUAAAAAAAACCUUUGUGUUAUGAGAACACUAUAUUAGUUAAUAAAUAACUUGUUUGGUGUUAUGUGAACACUAUAUUAGUUUUAAAAACUCCCCUGGUGUUAUGUGAACACUACAUUAGUUUAAAAAAAUAACGCUCUUAGUGUUAUGUGAACACUAAAUUAGUUUAAAAAAAACUCCCAUGGUGUUAUGUGAACACUACAUUAGUUUAAAAAAUAACUCUCUUAGUGUUACGUGAACACUAAAUUAGUUUAAAAAGAACUCCUGUAGUGUUAAACUUUUGACACAACUAGUGUGGUUGUAGCACUCACUUGGUGUAAAUGAAACUCAUCAAUGGUGUUAACUGUGAACACUCAUAGUGUUAUUUUUAACAUUUUGUGAGUGUUAAAAAAUUAACACUUUUUAAAGUGUAAAUUUAACUCGAUUUAGUGUGGACUCAUAUAAACUCUGGA